rnacentral:rRNA from 1 species
UACAGAGGUCUCAAGCGUUGUUCGGAUUCAUUGGGCGUAAAGGGUGCGUAGGCGGUGCGGUAAGUCGGGUGUGAAAUCUUGGAGCUUAACUCCGAAACUGCAUUCGAUACUGCCGUGCUUGAGGACUGGAGAGGAGACUGGAAUUUACGGUGUAAGCGGUGAAAUGCGUAGAUAUCGUAAGGAAGACCAGUGGCGAAGGCGGGUCUCUG